ACAGAUUUCUUCGAAGACGUGACAUUACUGCUGAUUCUCCAAAGGAUUCAUGAUGAAGGAAAUAAAACGGCUUAAAGGAACUGACCUUUUCCUGGCAAGUGGACACUGCACAAACUUCCCUGCUCUUGCAGGAGUAUCUCAGAUACAGGUCACCACUUCUGAAUGAAUGCUCGAUAAGGUCGAUCCUCUAUAAAACAGCCGACCGACUCCAACUUUAUUCCGAUCCUUCAGGUUCCCAUCCUUUAAUAAGGUCUUCACUCUCCAGUACUACUGUCAAGGAAAAAUUAUAGAUGCAACACACAAACCUGGCAGCAAAUGGCAAAACUGCCAGCACCAAUCUUUGCACCUUAAAAUAGAAAGGAAAACUCUGUUUUGAAAUGAAACUGCGUCAUGAGAUAAGUACGCAGCAUAAUGGAGUAACUGACGAAUUAACACAAAACUAAACUGAAACUAACUACGUCACAACAGGGUUUCCCUUUAUAUACCUGUUGAAAACAGGUCAUCAUGUGACCUCACACUGGCGGGGAAAUUACAUCAUGUGACCUCCACAAGAUCAUUACAUCAUGCUCAUAAGACAGUCACAAGAUACCCACGAGAUAUUGCUCAACCUGCUGAGUUCCUCCAGCAGUUUCAACCUAACAAGUCCACUUGGGCAAAAAAAAAAGGCAACUUUAAUUUUUGAACUGCAAGCAGCAAGAACGUCUUUGAGGUGUUAACAGUGGCAGCAGAGGAUGGUUUCCAAUUAUAGGAACCCGCCAGUGUUUGAUGAGCG